rnacentral:rRNA from 1 species
UACGUAGGGGGCAAGCGUUGUCCGGAAUCAUUGGGCGUAAAGAGCGUGUAGGCGGUCCGAUUAGUCGGCUGUGAAAGUCCAGGGCUCAACCCUGGGAUGCCGGUCGAUACUGUCGGACUAGAGUCCGGAAGAGGCAAGUGGAAUUCCCGGUGUAGCGGUGAAAUGCGCAGAUAUCGGGAGGAACACCAAUGGCGAAGGCAGCUUGCUGGGACGGUACUGACGCUGAGACGCGAAAGCGUGGGGAGCGAACAGG